GAUGAACGCUGACAGAAUGCUUAACACAUGCAAGUCGACUGGAAUUCUCUUCGGAGUUAGUACGGUGGCGGACGGGUGAGUAAUACAUGGGAAUCUACCUAAAAGUCUGGGAUAACUAUUAGAAAUAGUAGCUAAUACCAGAUAUACCCUGAGGGGGAAAGGUUCACUGCUUUUAGAUGAGCUCAUGUUAGAUUAGUUUGUUGGUGGGGUAAUGGCCUACCAAGACGAUGAUCUAUAGUUGGUCUGAGAGGAUGAUCAGCCACACUGGAACUGAGAUACGGUCCAG
rnacentral:rRNA from 1 species